UACGUAGGGUGCAAGCGUUGUCCGGAAUUAUUGGGCGUAAAGAGCUCGUAGGCGGUUUGUCACGUCUGCUGUGAAAACUCGGGGCUUAACUCCGGGCCUGCAGUGGGUACGGGCAGACUAGAGUGCGGUAGGGGAGACUGGAAUUCCUGGUGUAGCGGUGAAAUGCGCAGAUAUCAGGAGGAACACCAAUGGCGAAGGCAGCUCGCUGGGACGUGACUGACGCUGAGGCACGAAAGCGUGGGGAGCGAACAGG
rnacentral:rRNA from 1 species